rnacentral:sRNA from 1 species
CUGUCUCUGGGAUGUUCGCCAGCCGGUCUGAUUCCCCUGAGCCGAUAUCAUCUCUUUAGGAUGGUGUUCUGCAUAUUUAGAGCGUAUGCCUACCCCGAGUAGGAAACCCAGCAAGUAUGCGUCACCUC